GGCCACAGCCAUAUCACCCUGCAGCCCAAGACUGGUUGCCCACUGAAGCUAAGCAGGGCUGAGUCUGGUCAGUACCUGGAUGGGAGACCUCCUGGGAAAACUAGGUUGCUGUUGGAA
rnacentral:rRNA from 1 species